rnacentral:lncRNA from 1 species
CAAACAGAAAUGAAACCAAAGGCGUUUUAACAAGUGCUUGUUCCGGUAGCAAGAGACAUAUCCAGGAGAAGUCACUAGUCCAGCAAUCUGAUCAAGAAUUGCUACUUUAUUCCACUGAAAUUUCAACCUGUUUGUGCAGGCAAAGGCUUGAAAACUGAACACCCUCUCUGGCAUUCUUGUCCCCAGCUCGCAUGGAUGCCUGUGGGAGCUGAGUGCCUGCUGCUCUGUAGACCUGGUGUGCUGAUGGUGAAGGGAGAAUAACAACUGAUGAACAACCCUGAAGACACCAGAGAUGAACUGAAGGUGCUGUGAAGACAAGUGGUAGAACUGAGCUUUAAACCCUUUUGUAUAGUUCUUGUCAUCAGGUUUGUUUUGCCUUAUAGGCCUUCUCACUGUGUAUCAUCUGUCUUUUGUUGGAGCAAAAAUACCCAUAGAAACAAAUAAGGAAGCAGACUUGCAUGAGCAGCAUGCAGGCA